rnacentral:rRNA from 1 species
UACGGAGGAGGCAAGCGUUGUUCGGAUUUACUGGGCGUAAAGGGCGCGUAGGCGGCUUGGUAAGUCGGGUGUGAAAUCCUUCCGCUUAACGGAAGAAGUGCACCCGAAACUGCCUUGCUCGAGUUUAGGAGAGGAGAGCGGAAUUCCCGGUGUAGAGGUGAAAUUCGUAGAUAUCGGGAGGAACACCCGUGGCGAAAGCGGCUCUCUGGCCUAAUACUGACGCUGAGGCGCGAAAGCGUGGGGAGCAGACAGG